rnacentral:rRNA from 1 species
AUAUACAACCAUAGCCUCUAAAGAACUCGGGAUCCUGUCCGCUGUCCCAUGGACAAGCUAGAGAGGGCCCAGACUAGUAGUUAGGUCAGUGACGACCAGCAAAUCCCUGAUGUUGUAUGUG